rnacentral:rRNA from 1 species
UACAGAGGGUGCAAGCGUUAAUCGGAGUUACUGGGCGUAAAGGGCGCGUAGGCGGUUGUAUAAGUGAGAUGUGAAAUCCCUGGGCUUAACCUAGGAACUGCAUCUUAUACUGUAUGACUAGAGUAUUGUAGAGGGUAGUGGAAUUUCCGGUGUAGCGGUGAAAUGCGUAGAGAUCGGAAGGAACACCAGUGGCGAAGGCGGCUACCUGGACAAAUACUGACGCUGAGGCGCGAAAGCGUGGGGAUCAAACAGG